AAGAAAUCCUAAAAAAUCCAAAUAAAAUCCUAAACUAAACCAAAUCCUAAUCUUAAGCAAAUAUUAAUCCUAAUCAAAAUCUAAAUCCUAACCAAAUCCUAAUCAAUUUUUUUAAAUCUCAAAUAAAUUUCUAACAAUCUUAUAAAAGAUUUUGAAAUUCAAUAACUAAUGCUUGAACUAUCGAUUUUAACUCAAAUUUUUCAUAUUCUUAACUAAUUAUAUCAACAAUCAGCACAAAAAAUUGAAAAAGAUCAAAACUACCAAAUAGAUGAUAAUCUCAAAAAUGUGCUUGAAUGUCGGCUAGCCUACUUCUCUGAUCUUCAUGCCAAUCUUCUAGAGCCAAUUACUCCUGAUUAAACUAUUAUUUUGCUUCCAAAAUUUAUAUACUUGUUAGAAAUCAAGUUGAAUAUCUUUAUAAAAGAAAAUUUCUUCAAUAUAAUUAACAAAUUGAUAGAUAUCUAAAAAAUCCUCAUUGAUCUUCAAAACCCUAAAUUAUGAGACCAUGACCCACAAAAAUCUUUAUGCUUUUCAAUCUAAUCAAUUGAUCAAAUUCAAAUUCACAACACACAUCAAGCACAACUAUAUCUACAAAUUUAAAAAAAUUCACUUGUAGAUUUGUUACCAAAGUCUUGAAAUUUUCCAAAAUGUCAUUCCUAUUUUAUUUUCUAAAAACUAAAGUCACCAAUAACAUCAACUUUGUAAAGCUCUUAGAAAGUCAUUAUCUACUCAAAUCUUCUAAAAUCAAUGCUUAUAGAAAUCCUAUCAAGUCUUUUCUCCAACCUCAC
rnacentral:lncRNA from 1 species